rnacentral:tRNA from 1 species
GCCGCAGUGGUGGAAAGGUAGACACGCUACCUUGAGGAGGUAGUGGGCUAGUCCCGUGGAGGUUCAAGUCCUCUCUGCGGCACCA